AGAGCGGCAGACGGGUGAGUAACACGUGGGCAACCUGCCCCUGGGUGGGGGAUAACCACUCGAAAGGGUGGCUAAUACCGCAUAAGACCCCGCCUUUGCGGAGGUGAGGUCAAAGGUCCUUCGGGACUGCCUGGGGAGGGGCCCGCGCCCGAUUAGCUAGUUGGUGGGGUAACGGCCUACCAAGGCGACGAUCGGUAGCUGGUCUGAGAGGAUGAUCAGCCACACUGGUACUGAGACACGGACCAG
rnacentral:rRNA from 1 species